rnacentral:lncRNA from 1 species
CACCCAGAGGCCGCUGCUUGUGAAAAGUACUGACAUAGGCCAGGUAAACGCUGCCACGCGGGUCUCCGCUUGGCCCGUAGGGACGCCCCUUUCCCAGCGUCCCUGAAGAAGCCUCCGGUUGAAAAUUAAUUCAGCUUCGGACGUAAUUUUGCCCUUUCCACUGUCAUGUUCCAAUACGGAAUCAAACCUGGUUCUUAGGUCUGGACGCGUGGAGAAGCCCCCAGUGUGGGAUGUACACCCGGCCGCCACAUGCCGCGGCUUUCUUUCAUUUACAAAAGAAAAGAAAAAAAAAUCCGUAACAAAAGGCAGAGCCGUGUCCGCUUAGGUGCUUUCAUCCCUCGGAGAAAGGACAGAUGUGCCCAUUGUCCGGCCCUUGGCAGUUAUGGCCGGGUCAGCGCCGAGCCUCAGCCGCGGGCGAGCUGUGUUCACAAUGGGGACAGAUUCUCAGAGCCAGGGUAUCUGGGCCUAGAUACAAAAUAAAGUUUGUGUGUGGCUUGUACUGGGCCAAACUCAACAAACUCAAAUCAUAGGUUUGUUUGCUGAGACACUGGGCUGAAAUUCACCACCGGUGUUUCCACUGUAAAUGUUCCCAGACCCUUGAAGAGGCCAGGGCUGAGUUGGUAUCAUGGUGGUGGUUGAGCUUCCAAUAAGAAAGUUUCAGCUGGACAACCUUUAGGGAAGUACCCAUCAGCUAGGGUGGGAACUAGUCAGGUCCAUCUCCUUGCCUAGGUUCCACCCACCACAGGCCAACAUCAUGAUUCAGGUAGGUCACAGUCAGUGGGCACAGUCAGUUUGACUUCCUUGAAAAUGCCUUGUUCUGGGGCUGGUUAAUAUGGCUGUCCCAGAAACAAUCUCAUCCUAUCCCAGCAAUUUCUGUGGAGGCCCUGAAAAUGGGGGCUCAUCUCAGUGGACAUCAUUUCUACUUGCUCAGUGAACAUUGAGGAAUAUCCCUCCUCCCCUGGCCAGGAAAAGCCCUUUGGGAAAAAUACACUGGCCAAAAUAAACUCAGAAAAACAAUCACUCUAUUUUAACAUAUCUAUAUCUACCUGUUCAUACACAUAUAUACACAAGCAUAAUACAUUUGUUGUCUAGUACAUCACAGUUUGUUGGUGGGAAGCUUUUUUAAAAAUAUUGUUUCUGCUCUCUUUUCUUAUAGCAUAGAACAUUGGCCUUGCAUAUGAGCCCAAAUAAUGGGUUAAAAUAGCAGGCAGCCUUUGAACUAAACUGUCACCCCCUCCCAUAUUUUAAUCCUACAGAUUGCCCUUUUGACAACUCUCAUCCCAAAAGGCAGUGUGUUAAAAGAAAGAAGUAAAUACCACCAAGUACACAAAUUGUUCAUGGUUUUCUCUUUGUGUAGCUAAUUAGGGGCUUGAUCUUGGAAACCCUCCUUGUGAGGCUCCUAGCUGAUCCCCUGGUGGCCACCUUAAGGGGGCUUGGAUCAGGUGAGCUUGACUUCACCCAUCCACAAAGGGACUUUUGAAAAGGGGGCCUGUUUUGAUGUUGAUCACUUAAGGGGAAGUGAAGGGAAAAAUCUGGGCAAGUAUGUGUUGGCCUUGCUUAGUUCAAUAUUUCACACUUUUCCUAAAAGAUUUUCAAAAAUGGCUCAGGAGGCUGAGGCAGGAGGAUCUCAAGUUCACAGCCAGCCUCAGCAACUGAUGAGGCACCAAGCAACUCAGUGAGACCCUGUCUUUAAAUAAAAUACAAAAAAGGGCUGGGGAUGUGGCUCAGUGGUUGAGUCCUCAGAGUUCAAUCCCUGGUACUCCCCCUACUCCCAAAAUGCCUGUGAAGGACUUGCUUGGGUCUGUGAAUCUCCCUCAUUUUUCUUGGCUAUUCACACCUU